AUUUGUAGUCGCGGCGACUAAAAAAUCGCUGUCGCAGAAAAUCUGGUGGGAGUGGUGGGUGCCUCCACUUGCGAUUUUUACUUAAGUCGCAGAAUUACAUCAGUCUUGCAAUGGAUAACAUCGAAACUACUUGUGCUAUCGCUCUUUUGCUUCGGGAGAGAAGUAAACGAUCGUUGUGGUCCACAUCAACAAAGAGUAGAAUGUAAGUCUUGUUGCAAAGAACCAACCUGCCAACACAAAAGCCCUCCCAAAUGUACCCACGUUUGCCCUCUAGUAUGCCUUCCCGGAUGUGAAUGUUUACCAGGAUAUAUCAGACUUACAGAAGAUGGGCCUUGUGUGAAACAUUGUUAAAAAAGUUACCUAGACAGUAAACAACAAUAAAUGUAAUUGAACCAA